GACAGAACGGAAGGAAUUCCAAGAGACCAAUCAGUAGAAGGACCUUAUUAAUGCACACCUACGUCGCUUCACGAAAACGGCCAGCAGAGGGCGCGCGUGGCCUUUGACUAACGGUUGAUUCCUAGCCCAGGGUCACAAACGAAAUGAUCCAGGGAGGUGAUUUACAUUCCUAGCACAGUUCAUAGAGAAAACCAAAGGCCAAGCUACAUGGAAUGAAAAUCUCCGAUUUGGGCUUAUCUCAACGUCACAUGUAACAUACAGACAGCACCAACGCAGAUGCUGGUCCUUCCUUUACCAGACUCCCGUGGACCUGCAACGGUCGUUGUCGCUUUGGAGGAAUCGUCUUCAAGCUAAGGCCUGCCUGUGUUUGGUGAGCUCUGUCCCUGGAGAGUCUCUGCCUAGCAGGAGAAGGGGCCAGGAGUCUCCGGAACCUUAAAGAAAACCAUCAGCCCAGAAGACAAGCAUUUUCUGUGACUUGUGAGUACUGGAGGUGAGGAAGACUUGAGCCACAGACCAAAAGAAAGGUCCCCUGCUUCAGUCAUCAUCUUCCUAGCUGAAGAGAAGAGCCUUGCCCCUGGGACCCAAGAGAGAGCCUUGAGGGGACCACCAGCAUUUGGCUGGCUGACCUCCCACGGAAAGCUGACUUCCUGUGGGAAACACAUCAGUGUCACUCCUUCACCUCACCCUGGCAGGCCCUCUCUUCUCUUGGGUCUGGAGAGGGAGUGCUUGCAUAUCGAAGGGACCAUGGAGCCCACUCUGUGGCCAAGAAGCAUCCCUGAGUCCUUUCCACCAUACAGCCCAGAACCAGCUCCUCUCUCCUGUCCUGGUGGACACCAGGCACAGAGGAAACUGAGCCCCAGGGGACACUAUGGAGUUGUUUGUGCCCAAGGCAGGAUGACCAAAGGUCACUGCAGCCAAGAUUUCAGGGUCAGCCACCAAUGGCCCUUUUUGUCCUGCCACUGUGAAUGCAUGAUCCUCAAGCCCAAAUUCCCCUCCCAUCUGGUCCUUAAAAUAAAUGGUGAGCAAUUCCCCACCUGGGAGGUACUGGGAACUUGCUAAGAGAUCAGCCCUCACUGCUCCUGGGCCGGGUCACCUCUCACUGCCUUCUGGGGCUGAGGUGCUGAGGAAGCAAGUGUCUCUGCUUU
rnacentral:lncRNA from 1 species